rnacentral:lncRNA from 1 species
AUGGCGCCUGUCCUGAGGCACUGCCCGGGACGGGCACAGCUCCCGCCCGGCAUGAGCCCCCCUCUCCCCGGCCGGGACCCGGCUUUAAUUAGCCAUGGCCCAGAGCGGCUUUCCCCGGCCAUCUGUAGCCCCGGUCACCGACCUAAUCGCGGGGAUAAGCUGCUUACGGAGCCCCAGCUGGAGCGGGCCGAGGGUGGCUGUGGCCGCGAAGGAAGCGCGUGUGGCCGGUCCCCGGGGCCCAGCAGCGCAGCCGGUGCCUCUCGGUGCCUCUCGGGCUGGAUCUCAGAAAACAGCUCCUGGUCAUUGAAGGUGAAUGAGCAAAGUUUCUGGCACUUGUGUGACAAACAAAUCCUAACAAGGUGUUUCCAAGCCUGGAGGAGACAUAUCCUUUGGAAGAGGGCAGCCAGGCAGCUUUACAGACACCAGCUGCUUCAGAAGGGCUUUGGUGCUCUGCAGUGGACUGUGCACCAAAGGAGGACACAAUUGGAGGUGGCCCAGCAGAGAUAUGCUUCAACUCUGCUAGCUGCCAGCUUCCAGAAGUGGAAAGAAGCUGUGGCAAAACAGAGCAAGAAGAAAGCUCUGCAGCCUGAGCCUUACUCCUUUACCCAAAGUUCAUCAGCAGGGAUUUUUGGAGUAGGAAGAUCAGCAACUAUGACAACUUCAGCUCAGCAUCAGCUUGGAACAGGAUACUCAAAGGAAGCAGAGCAGGCUCGUAGGGUGGAGGGAGAGCUGUGGACACAGCUUUGUCAUAGGCAGAGAGCAGCUGAGUUUUGCUGGAGAGCUGAAGCAAUCAGAGACAUGAGACGCCUGGCUGCUUUCAGACUGUGGCGCCUGCAGAAGGAGCUGCUGAGCAAAGAGGAAGCCAGGCUUUUGGAAGCCCGGGCUCUGCUGGAAAAAAAGAAGUUACGAAACAUUUUCUGGAUGUGGCAUUCCCGAAGCUUGGAAAUGAAACAGGUUCUAACACUGACAGCUCAAAUCGAAAGGAACUUGGUCUCCUGGUGCUUCUGUACAUGGAAGGAGACUGUUGAGCAGAAGGCACUUGACAGGUGCAACCUGGCCCAUCUCAGAGCAGUAUCACUGAGGAAACACUUCCAGCAGUGGGUUGAGAUGCUGCAGGUCAGAGGAGGUGAUAAGCAGGCAGUGGUGAACCUCUUCCUGCUACGAUGGAGGCGGCAUUAUGGAGCAGUUAUAAGCUCAGUAGCUGACAAGACUGUGACAAAGAGGCAUGAAGGUCAGACAUCAUGGACUGGAGAGAGACAGAUUCUGGAGAAAACAGUCUACUCUUUUGAUGACUUCUGCCAAAAACUGAAGCUGCAGAGAGUAUAUCUGCUGUGGAAAACAAGGCUGUGUGAGCAUCACAAAGCUGAUUCUUUCUCUCAGACUUUGGAGCAGUGUAAACUCAGAAAAACUUUGAAAUUAUGGCACCAAAAGUAUCUCAUGCUGAAGACAAUUGAACAAAGUUCUACGCACUUGCAUAGAGCUGUCUAUGAGGAACCUCUUGCCAUGCUGAUUUCUGAGGAUCUCUCAACAUCAUCUGGCUUUGACAGCAGUGCACCAGCUACUCUGACCUCUCAAAGCUCAUUGGAAAAGGAAUGCAGUCUUAGUGAGAGCAGCCAGCAUGGCUUCUCCUUUCUGACUGCUGAGGAUGUCACCCACAUCUCAUGUCACAGCUCUUUCCUGCACCUCCACCAGUGCACAGAGCUGCCAGCUGAGCUGGGUGGGGAGCUGUGCUUGCAGACCUCCUUCUCUGGAUCUGGAAGAAAUAGGUUUGUGGAGAAUCAGUUCCAGUCUUUGGUGCUGCAGAGUCCAGAUAAUAAUUCCCAGCCUCUCACCAGUUACUCUGCAUGGGAAGAGGGCUGCAGUUCUGACAAGGAGGUGAAGAGUUGCUGGCAGCAAGCAGAGAAAUACUGCCUGCAGAGAUGCUUCCUUGUCUGGUCAGCUCAAACUCGACAUCAUGUGAAGGCCCAGCAGUACUGCAGGCACAUUCAGCUGUCUCGAGCCUUUCACAGCUGGCACCACUGGGUCAUGGAAAAUAAGAACCAAAAAGCAGCAGCAGCCUUAAAAUACAGAGUUCAUUGUUCCCAGAUGGCUUUCAGCCUGUGGAAAACGAGACUGGCCCAGAAAGUGGAAGCUGACCGGAGAUUCAGGUGUCACAUUCACCGGAUGACUGCUGAUGCUCUGUGGCAUUGGCAUUCCUGCUGGCAAAGGAAGCAUGCUCUGAGAGAACUGGAGCAGCAAUGGGCUUGGCACAGCUGCCAGGAGAAGAAGAGGCUGGUCCUGCAGAUAUGGUAUUGCCAAACAAGAAAGCAGAAAUAUGCUGUUUUAUUCUGGGAACGUUUUCUCCUGCACAGGUGCAUUGUCACUUGGGCCCAGGUCACUGCAGGUAGACUGAGGCAGCAUGAAGCCCUCUCUUACUUCAGAAGAGUCAGAGAGCACCGUCUUCUGGUUGUGAGCUUUACAAAGUGGAGGGACAAACUCUUUAGAGCUGAACAAGUGCCAGGAGGGAGAAACCACAAGAGGCAGGAGCCCUCUCCAGGUAAAGCCUGUCACCGCUGGCGAGUGGCUGCAAGAGGACAGCAAGCCCUGCGCCUGGGAUCCGUGGCUACUGUCAAACAAGCCUGCAACUACUGGACGAGAGCAGCUGCCUUUUCGCAGUGCUUACGGCAGCGCAGUACCCUCAUAGGUGUUUGGAAGAGCAGGAAGAUGGCUCUCUCUUGGCCCACGAAAAGCAGCAGAGGCAGAGAAGAAGAUUCAGCAACAACUGGACUUUUCCCCAGUGCCAUUCAGCGCUGGCUGGUGAUCUACAGGAGCCAAAAGAGGUCUGGAAGGCUGCUGGAGAGACCUGAUGUGGUAGGACCCUCUCGUGCACAUGGCAGGAUCCAGGGGAACACAGCAGAGGUGGACUUGGAGGAUUGGGCUAAGAGGUGUCUCGGGAGGAAAUAUCUGAGGUGGUGGCAUCACACAGUGGUACUGCGCCAGUACCAGCAUGACAGGAAACUGCUCUGUCUGGCAAGGGGAUGGCAUCAGUGGAGGGAAGCCAGCAGGGUGGUGAUACUGGCUCAGGUGUUGGACCAGCAACGGCUGAUAGAAAAGGCCUGGAGGGUGUGGAGACAAAGAUAUUUGCAAAGCUGUGUGGUGCAGAAUCUUUUGGAGGAGGAAGCCAGGAGCCUCUUGUGUCAGGUAAGCAUUUAUGCCUUCUUCAAUUCAGUGGUACAAAAAAGCACCCCCAAGGGACAACUGGUGCCCCCUGUAUCUCUCUCCCUGCACAUGCACUUGCUCAGGGAGAAUUUGAAUACAUCAAGGAAUGGGACUUGCCAGUAA